GCUGGUGGCUAUGGCGGAAGGGCCACACCCGAUCCCAUCCCGAACUCGGUCGUUAAGACUUCCAGCGCCGAUGGUACUGCAGGGGCGACCCUGUGGGAGAGUAGGACGCCGCCAGC
rnacentral:rRNA from 13 species